rnacentral:lncRNA from 1 species
GAGAAUUGAAUACAAGUUUGAUGAUUCCUAAAACUAGAACUAAAACGGAUCUUUUAUCUCUAAUAUUCAGAAAUCUCUCAUCAUCUUCAAAUCUCUUACUGACCUAAAGUCUUUGCCACGAAUUAUAAAUAUUAAUAGAACUAUCAGUAUCUAAUAUUUAGGUCAUCAUAUCACAAAUUGAGAAGUUGCAAGGAGUUAUCAUAUAAUUACCUUGCUUAGCAAUUGGUUGCUUCUUCUUCUUAGGCCUGUUCGGAUCAAAGAAAGUAAUGUAUUGAGGAUAGUUCCUCUUCCAGUGAUCCUACUUCCUAUAAUAGAAGCACUUUGUCUAACUUUGGUCGGACUUAGAUUUGGACUUCACGAUCUGAUCCCUAGCACUUGGCAUCUUAUUUUUCUUCUUCUUCUCUUUCUUAAAGGAAUGACGCCCGCCUAAAGAAGAUGCUCCCACUACAUUCACUGUUUUCUUGUGGAGUUGAUGAUCUUUCUUAUAAGUCUGUAGCAAUCUUAAUAGAUUGUGGUAGUUUACUACUACUUCGUCAUUCGAUAAUGACUGAAAAAUGGUAAGUAGAACUUUGACAAAAAAUUUAGAAUUGCAUCUUUCCGAAGCUGCUCGUGCAAGAAAAAAUUGAGUUUGCUGAGAUGCUCGAUCUGUUCAAUCAUGUACAAUAUCUGAUCGAUUACUGAUUCCCC